UUGAAAAAAGAAUAAAUGCAUGCGCCCAAAUUCGAAAUUCAAUUAUAUCUCGUUCGCUUGUACCGUUGCACGAAGAAGAAUCCUUUACAGAAUAUCAACCUUAAAACAAGAAGAUGAACAUUUUAAUUGCACUUUGUUUUAUCAUUGUUUUCGCUUCUAAUGGAAACCAGGUCCAGGUAACUUUACGGCAUAUGUCUCUUAUUAAAACUAUAUUUCAAUUUUGUAUUGAUUAUUAGUCUUUGAAUCACAUGAACAAUAAUAGAGUUGAGAAGCAGUAUAGCCAUUUCAUACAGACAAACAGGGUGUAUUCUUAAAACAAAACAGAACUGCAUGUGUGUUAUAUAUUGUUAACAAUCGGGCCUCAGGGAGCAUGGAAUAGAGGACUUGUCUGUCACCAUAGUUCGGACAGUUCUCCUUAAAGACUGAAAAAACUUUUUAACCUAGGGAGCAAGCUGUAGUUGUAACUGCAAUGAUGGAGGUUCAACGUGUCCAGGCAACACAUACGUCGUUCCAAAGAGAUUAGUUAAACAAUGUGUGUUCCCUAGUAUGAAUGAAGACAAGGACAGUGGACCACUGAGUG